rnacentral:rRNA from 1 species
GGCGUGCUUAACACAUGCAAGUCGAACGGAAAGGCCCUGCUUUUGUGGGGUGCUCGAGUGGCGAACGGGUGAGUAACACGUGAGUAACCUGCCCUUGACUUUGGGAUAACUUCAGGAAACUGGGGCUAAUACCGGAUAGGAGCUCCUGCUGCAUGGUGGGGGUUGGAAAGUUUCGGCGGUUGGGGAUGGACUCGCGGCUUAUCAGCUUGUUGGUGGGGUAGUGGCUUACCAAGGCUUUGACGGGUAGCCGGCCUGAGAGGGUGACCGGCCACAUUGGGACUGAGAUACGGCCCAGACUCCUACGGGAGGCAGCAGUGGGGAAUAUUGCACAAUGGGCGGAAGCCUGAUGCAGCAACGCCGCGUGCGGGAUGACGGCCUUCGGGUUGUAAACCGCUUUCGCCUGUGACGAAGCGUGAGUGACGGUAAUGGGUAAAGAAGCACCGGCUAACUACGUGCCAGCAGCCGCGGUGAUACGUAGGGUGCGAGCGUUGUCCGGAUUUAUUGGGCGUAAAGGGCUCGUAGGUGGUUGAUCGCGUCGGAAGUGUAAUCUUGGGGCUUAACCCUGAGCGUGCUUUCGAUACGGGUUGACUUGAGGAAGGUAGGGGAGAAUGGAAUUCCUGGUGGAGCGGUGGAAUGCGCAGAUAUCAGGAGGAACACCAGUGGCGAAGGCGGUUCUCUGGGCCUUUCCUGACGCUGAGGAGCGAAAGCGUGGGGAGCGAACAGGCUUAGAUACCCUGGUAGUCCACGCUGUAAACGGUGGGUACUAGGUGUGGGGUCCAUUCCACGGGUUCCGUGCCGUAGCUAACGCUUUAAGUACCCCGCCUGGGGAGUACGGCCGCAAGGCUAAAACUCAAAGGAAUUGACGGGGCCCCGCACAAGCGGCGGAGCAUGCGGAUUAAUUCGAUGCAACGCGUAGAACCUUACCUGGGUUUGACAUGGAUCGGGAGUGCUCAGAGAUGGGUGUGCCUCUUUUGGGGUCGGUUCACAGGUGGUGCAUGGCUGUCGUCAGCUCGUGUCGUGAGAUGUUGGGUUAAGUCCCGCAACGAGCGCAACCCUUGUUCACUGUUGCCAGCACGUUAUGGUGGGGACUCAGUGGAGACCGCCGGGGUCAACUCGGAGGAAGGUGGGGAUGACGUCAAGUCAUCAUGCCCCUUAUGUCCAGGGCUUCACGCAUGCUACAAUGGCUGGUACAGAGAGUGGCGAGCCUGUGAGGGUGAGCGAAUCUCGGAAAGCCGGUCUCAGUUCGGAUUGGGGUCUGCAACUCGACCUCAUGAAGUCGGAGUCGCUAGUAAUCGCAGAUCAGCAACGCUGCGGUGAAUACGUUCCCGGGGCUUGUACACACCGCCCGUCAAGUCAUGAAAGUUGGUAACACCCGAAGCCGGUGGCCUAACCGUUGUGGGGGAGCCGUCGAAGGUGGGACUGGUGAUUAGGACU